UGGGGAAUCUUGGACAAUGGGGGCAACCCUGAUCCAGCAAUGCCGCGUGUGUGAAGAAGGCCUGCGGGUUGUAAAGCACUUUAGGUGGGGAGGAAAGCUAAUUGGCGAAUAACCAAUUGGGGUGACGUUACCCACAGAAUAAGCACCGGCUAACUACGUGCCAGCAGCCGCGGUAAUACGUAGGGUGCGAGCGUUAAUCGGAAUUACUGGGCGUAAAGGGUGCGCAGGCGGUUUUGUAAGUCAGAUGUGAAAUCCCCGGGCUUAACCUGGGAACUGCGUUUGAAACUACAAGACUAGAGUGUGGCAGAGGGGGGUGGAAUUCCAUGUGUAGCAGUGAAAUGCGUAGAUAUGUGGAGGAAUACCGAUGGCGAAGGCAGCCCCCUGGGCUAACACUGACGCUCAUGCACGAAAGCGUGGGGAGCAAACAGGAUUAGAUACCCCAGUAGUCCCUGAGCGGGCUGGCAAGGCGCAU
rnacentral:rRNA from 1 species